GCGGGCACGUAUAAUGGUUAUUACCUUCAGCCUUCCAAGCGAUGAUGCGGGUUCGAUUCCCGCUGCUCGCUCCA
rnacentral:tRNA from 1 species